rnacentral:rRNA from 1 species
UACCAGCACCCCGAGUGGUCGGGACGUUUAUUGGGCCUAAAGCAUCCGUAGCCGGUUCUACAAGUCUUCCGUUAAAUCCAGCUGCUUAACAGAUGGGCUGCGGAAGAUACUAUGGAGCUAGGAGGCGGGAGAGGCAAGCGGUACUCGAUGGGUAGGGGUAAAAUCCGUUGAUCCAUUGAAGACCACCAGUGGCGAAGGCGGCUUGCCAGAACGCCGCUCGACGGUGAGGGAUGAAAGGCUGGGG